rnacentral:rRNA from 1 species
UACGGGGGAGGCAAGCGUUAUCCGGAUUCACUGGGUUUAAAGGGUGCGUAGGCGGGCAGGUAAGUCCGUGGUGAAAUCUCUGAGCUUAACUCAGAAACUGCCAUGGAUACUAUUUGUCUUGAAUAUUGUGGAGGUCAGCGGAAUAUGUCAUGUAGCGGUGAAAUGCUUAGAUAUGACAUAGAACACCAAUUGCGAAGGCAGCUGGCUACACAGUUAUUGACGCUGAGGCACGAAAGCGUGGGGAUCAAACAGG